GACGAACGCUGACGGCGUGCUUAACACAUGCAAGUCGAACGGAAAGGCCCUGCUUUUGUGGGGUGCUCGAGUGGCGCACGGGUGAGUAACACGUGUGUAACCUGCCCUUGACUUUGGGGUAACUUCAGGAAACUGGGGCUAAUACCGGAUAGGAGCUCCUGCUGCACGGUGGGGGUUGGAAAGUUUCGGCGGUUGGGGAUGGACUCGCGGCUUAUCAGCUUGUUGGUGGGGUAGUGGCUUACCAAGGCUUUGACGGGUAGCCGGCCUGAGAGGGUGACCGGCCACAUGGGGACUGAGAUACGGCGCAGAAUCCUACGGGAGGCAGCAGUGGGGAAUAUUGCACAAUGGGCGGAAGCGUGAUGCAGCAACGCCGCGUGCGGGAUGACGGCCUUCGGGUUGUAAACCGCUUUCGCCUGUGACGAAGCGUGAGUGACGGUAAUGGGUAAAGAAGCACCGGCUAACUACGUG
rnacentral:rRNA from 1 species